rnacentral:rRNA from 1 species
UGGGGAAUUUUGGACAAUGGGCGAAAGCCUGAUCCAGCAAUGCCGCGUGUGUGAAGAAGGCCUUCGGGUUGUAAAGCACUUUUGUCCGGAAAGAAAUCCUCUGGGUUAAUACCUCGGGGGGAUGACGGUACCGGAAGAAUAAGCACCGGCUAACUACGUGCCAGCAGCCGCGGUAAUACGUAGGGUGCAAGCGUUAAUCGGAAUUACUGGGCGUAAAGCGUGCGCAGGCGGUUUUGUAAGACGGAUGUGAAAUCCCCGGGCUUAACCUGGGAACUGCAUUCGUGACUGCAAGGCUAGAGUAUGGCAGAGGGGGGUAGAAUUCCACGUGUAGCAGUGAAAUGCGUAGAGAUGUGGAGGAAUACCGAUGGCGAAGGCAGCCCCCUGGGCCAAUACUGACGCUCAUGCACGAAAGCGUGGGGGAGCAAACAGGAUUCAGGAUACCCUGGUAGUCCACGCCCUAAACGAUGUCAACUAGUUGUUGGGGAUUCAUUUCCUUAGUAACGUAGCUAACGCGUGAAGUUGACCGCCUGGGGAGUAC